CCGGCAACCGAGUGGGACCUAGCCCUGCACCGACACGCAGCAAAACGAUUCCGGGGACGUGUGGGAGAGGGCCCCCCGUGGUCCAGGGCGGCCCUCCCAACACAGACUUUCGCGCCGCGGCCGCCCGACCGCCCGUCAUUCUGCUCUGGCCUGCGCCACCCCCAGUCCGCGACAGGGACGCGGGGUCCUGGCUCGCCUCCGGGAUUCCCGCCUGGGCUGGGCCGAGCCUGCGGGUCCGCCCGGCUGACCGCUCAAGCACCUGCUCCCAGAAGUCUCCUCUCCGGGCAGCCGUGAUGUUCGAGCUCCUUCCUUCCCUUCCCUAACAUGGGGUCACGUUCGCGACGGGCGUGGGAGGGUCGAUGAGGUGACGCGGGGAGAGCAGACGCGGGGAAAGUUUGCAGAAGUGUGAUAUUUUGCCUGUGAUUGGUUAAGACCACUGUCUCUGUCCUCACCACCUGCCCCUCUGGUUUGACUAAGAAGUGCCUGUGUGUGGUUUGCAUCCCAGUAGGCUGAAUCUUGCUUGGGGUCCACUGAGCUUCUUGGAUGUAUCACUAAAGACUGCAGCUUCUGCCUUCCUUCUCUUUGGAUUUCCCCUCAGGGACUUCCCGCUCCCGUGUUAGGAGGACCCUCAAGCAGCCUGUGGAGAGGCCCCCAUGGGGAAGAACUGAAGCCUCCUGCCCAAGACUAGCAUCACCUGAGUAACCGUCUUGGCAGCCCAUCCACAGCUCCAGUCAGGCCAGCCCUGGGCAACAUCUUGUCUGCAACCUCAUGCAACACCUUGAGCCAGAACUAUCCGGCUCACCUACUCCUGAAUUCCUGACCAAAGAAAUUGCAUGCGGUAAUCAAUGUUUACUGUUGUUUUGGGGUAAUAUGAUACACAGCAAUAGAUAACUGAGACAGGAUGUGUCUGGAGAACAUUCGCUCUAGAAUCAGCCCUAGUUCCCGGGGUCUGGAUCCUGGUGUUUCAGCUGCAUGCCAGGGAUGUGCAUGGGCUUGAACGAGAUCUCCAGUCGGGCCAGGCCAGAGCUCCCAUGGUGGUUGUUAUCUGGUAAAUCUGGGGGCUUCACCCUAAGCUUGUGCAGCCCAAGCCUCAGCCAAGGACAGUGGGACAUCUUAGAUUCCCCUUGACACACCUGUCUCUCCUCCAGUGCCCUCCUCACAAAUCCCAGCUGUGUCACUGCCCUCUCAGCUCAGUGGGACAGCGUGCCCUGGUAGGACUCCAUCUCCCUGUACCAUGGUAGAGACUGCCCACAAACAGAGCUGGGGUGGUCAAGUUGUACCUCAUGAAUUUCCCUUUCCUGGGGAUGGCAGUCAGCAUUCCCUGUUUUCCACCUGAGACUGGUUGCCUCAUAUGUUUUGUCCACAUUCUGGCUAUUUACAGUGGGAGGGCCAGUCUGGUACAGCUUCUCUGUUAGAGUCCACAGCAUAGGCUUCAAUCAGGUUUGCUUUUUAAAAGAAUCCUUCUACAUCUGUGGGAAAACUGGUGAGCUCUAAAUCAAGUCUGGUUAAUGGUAAUGGACCAAUGUUGGCUUCUUAAUUGACAAAGCUACCAUGGAAAUGUAAGGUGUUGACACUAGGGAAACAGGUGGGGGGAACUGUGUAUUAUCUUUGCAUUUUUUCUGUAAAUGUAAAAUUAUUCCAAUAAAAAAAAUAAUAGAAAGGAUCCGUCUGGCUGCAGGGGCGGUGG